rnacentral:lncRNA from 1 species
UUAAGCACAUUCAUCUCUUUCAUAUCACCGAAUGAACGAAAGAAAAAAAAAAAAGAGAGAAACACCGUAAGAGAGAGAAGAGAACGAAACCAUGGAACCGUGAGUUUUCAACUUCGAUUACUUGCGAUCCGUAACUCCAAUAAAAAAUCUAAUCCGAUAAAAGUGUCCGUAUCCUUCUCUUCUACACGUUGGCGUUAUUUUUGUCUGGUAGAAGUUGACGGUGACGUAGCUCCUCUUCCCCUUGAGUUCGGCCAACUGGAGUUCUAGGAGACACAGAUGAUUUCUGACAUUUUCCUUUUCAGCAGCUCGGUCAAAAGUUUCUCCAAAACUUUUGUGGAUUUUGAUUUCAUACGGAGGUAGGGAAUUUUAUUUUGAAAUUAACUGUUUUUAAACUAUGAAUGCCAUAGAAGUCUAGUGGAUUUUUGUAAAUAAUUUAUGAUUGUUUGAAAUGACUGAAUGAUGAGUUUGAGUUGUGUUUGUGACUGAAUUUUGAUGAAUAUGUAUUUGAUUUCUUGAUUGAAAAGAGGUUGAAAAUGGUUUAGUUGGGACCCGAAAAAGGGUGGCUAACACCGAGUUUUAGGGGAAGUGCUGUCGAAAUUUUAUAAAAAUCUGAGGUUUUAUUUAAAAAGUUAUUUUAAAAAGAUUUGGUUUUGGAAAAUUAAAUUAUUUGAGAUUUAUUUAGUUGAGAAAAAGGUUUAUUCUAUUUUUAAAACUAGAUUUAUUAAGAAAAACAUAAUGUUUUAAAUCCAGUUUUGUAAGGAGAGAUUUUGUUCUAAGUGUUGUUUUGAGCUUGGUUUUUUUAAGAAAAGGAAUCUCUGCCACAGGAGAGCAGAGAACAAGGAUUUAAAGAAUAUAUUAAUUAAUGAAGUGUCUGCCACAAGAGAGUAGAUGUGACAUUGUUUGGGCCUUAGUGCCAAAUGUAAAGUGGGGACGCCCACACACUGAGAACUGUUUUCCAGAUGUACGCUUAUUGAUUUGGAAAGUCACACUGAUGCGGCCUAGCCGUACGACUUAUAAGCACACUGAUACAUCUGGAAAGCCAUAUCUGGGACUUGUGCCCGGGUAAUGUCGGGAGCGGGUAGGCAACCGACACAUGAGCUCAUGGCCUGCGUUAGGGAUAGACAUGCAUCAUAUUGAUUGCGCAUUUGUAUUUGGUCUUGUUUUACUUGUUAUAUUUUCUAUGUGUUUGUGCUGCUUGACUUGUUUGUCUUGUUGUGAUUUGCUUGUACAUUGAAUUGAAUCUCUUGUUUGCACUACUUGUUUGUGAGUGUAUUAAAGUGAUUACGAGUUGACAUUUGACUGAGGAUUAACUAUGUGGCUGAGAGACAGAAAAUGUGACUAAUUUUAUAUUUAAAAUUUGUUUUGAGUUUAGAAAUUUAAAGAAAAGUAAUUAUUUAUCUAAAGUAGAAAUAAAAGUAUUUUCAAAAGUUUAACAAAAUAGUUUUACUAAGUAAGUUAAUUAUUUGCAUUAAAUUCAUUACUUUUACGGCAUUCCCAUUCCCUACUGAGAACGUGUGGUUUGUUCUCACCCCAAAUCUUCCACCCUUUUAGUGACACAGGUUCGGAGAUUCAGUAAGAAGCUGCAGACGAUUCGUAGAUUUACUUGUGAUUCCUGUUGUUUUUAUAGAGUUCCCUCGUCCUUGUUGCUUUAGGGUUUUUAUUUUAUCCAGAGGGAUAGGUAUUGUAUUUGAGUUUUACAUUGAAUUUAAUCGUAUAACCUCUAUUAUUAUUAGUAAUUAUGUGAUUUUUAUUAUUUGAAGAUCUUUUGUUAUGUGAUUUUAAUACUAAAAUCAAUUUUUUUCUGAAAUUUUCUUAAAAACGGAAACGCGAUAUCGACGUAAAG